UACGUAGGGGGCAAGCGUUGUCCGGAAUUAUUGGGCGUAAAGCGCGCGCAGGCGGCGUCGGGCGUCGGUGCUGAAAGUCCACCGCUUAACGGUGGAUAGCGUGCCGAUACGCCGACGCUGGAGGGUGGGCGAGGGUGGUGGAAUUGCCGGUGUAGUGGUGAAAUGCGCAGAUAUUAGGAAGAACACCGGUGGCGAAGGCGGCUCUCUGGAACGGUACUGACGCUGAGACGCGAAAGCGUGGGGAGCGAACAGG
rnacentral:rRNA from 1 species